rnacentral:rRNA from 1 species
UACGUAGGGGGCAAGCGUUGUCCGGAAUUACUGGGCGUAAAGCGUGCGCAGGCGGUUUUGUAAGUCUGUCGUGAAAUCCCCGGGCUCAACCUGGGAAUGGCGAUGGAGACUGCAAGGCUAGAAUCUGGCAGAGGGGGGUAGAAUUCCACGUGUAGCAGUGAAAUGCGUAGAGAUGUGGAGGAACACCGAUGGCGAAGGCAGCCCCCUGGGUCAAGAUUGACGCUCAUGCACGAAAGCGUGGGGAGCAAACAGG